rnacentral:lncRNA from 1 species
CCACUUAUCCCACAAGCUGAGGGGGGAAGAUAAUAAACUAUAAGUUGCGAAACGGCGGCUCCUCGAUAUUUCUGGUCCAUUGCUAAUCGUAUUUCUGCGCCGUGCCCUAGCCCCUCCUGCCUGUCUGUCUCUCUCUCUUUCUGUCCCCUCCUCCCUCCUCCUCCGUUCUAGGGUUUUCGCUCCACCUCUAGGGCUUUAAUAAUCCCCCGCAGGACCGCCGGAUUCCGCCAAUCCAGCUCCGACCAGGCCGGCGGCGCCACCCGCCAACCAUAGCUCCGCCGGAGGCGAUCGGCGGCUCCUCCUCCCCCUCGUUAAGGGCUGUCCCCCCGGGGUUCCGCGAUUGAUGGGAACGGAGAGGAAGAGGAAGGUGAGCCUGUUCGACGUGGUGGAC